GACAGAGGGUGCAAACGUUGUUCGGAAUUACUGGGCGUAAAGCGCGUGUAGGCUGCUCAGCAAGUCGGAUGUGAAAGCCCUGGGCUUAACCUAGGAAGUGCAUUCGAAACUUCUGAGCUUGAGUUCUGGAGAGGAAGGCGGAAUUCUCGGUGUAGAGGUGAAAUUCGUAGAUAUCGAGAGGAACACCGGUGGCGAAGGCGGCCUUCUGGACAGUGACUGACGCUGAGACGCGAAAGCGUGGGGAGCAAACAGG
rnacentral:rRNA from 1 species